UCUCAAAGAAAUAAACGCCCAGUCAUUUCACCAUAUACCUGUGAUACAGACCAGAAGAAACAGAAACUAAAACAAAGCAAAUCACCAAAACUGAAAGAACUUGGUCAUCAAGGAUCGGGAGUAUGGAUCAGUAGAGAGCAGUGGAAUGAUGCUAAAAGUAAGCCUUCUUUUGCAGCUAUGACUGCGUCGUUACUGGCAUCAGUUUUCCCUAAAGAAAUACUUUUGAAAAGUAAUUACAAAGGAGGCGCCUCUAAAAAUACUGAAAAAAAAGAGGUGAAGUAUGAUGCACUUGACGAUAAUCUUCUGAGACUGAUUAAAGAAGCAGUCCAAGAAAGGUAUAAUGAUUUAAAAAAUGGCCCCUUUGGAACAGCCGUCAAUAACACAUGCUGAAAAGCAAGAAGUAAACUGAAAGAGCAACAGCAAAAAGCUGAAAAACUGUUACAAGAAAGUGAUAAACCACAAGUAUAAUGGAAAGGACCAUGAUUUUAUUUAU